rnacentral:rRNA from 1 species
UACGAAGGGUGCAAGCGUUACUCGGAAUUACUGGGCGUAAAGCGUGCGUAGGUGGUGCGUUAAGUCUGUCGUGAAAGCCCCGGGCUCAACCUGGGAAUGGCGAUGGAUACUGGCGCGCUAGAGUGCGGUAGAGGAGAGUGGAAUUCCCGGUGUAGCAGUGAAAUGCGUAGAGAUCGGGAGGAACAUCAGUUGCGAAGGCGGCUCUCUGGACCAGCACUGACACUGAGGCACGAAAAGCUAGGGGAGCAAACAGG